UUAUUGUAACUUUCCUUCUCAAGUUGGUGUAUAGACAUUACACAUGCCCAAUUUGGAUAGUGAUAUAUAGAAUGACCUAUUAUUUGGAAACACCUUUGCCAAAUUCUGAUUACAAAAUGGAUCUCUUUCACAGAGUAGAGACCCUCUACUAUCUCUACCAUUGCAAUCUUUGUUAGAUUGUCUUCCAUGAGGGGAUACUUGAGAUGUAUACGUGGCAACCUGAGCAGAUUUCUUUUUCUUCGUUUGAGCUUGCUUAAGUUUGAACCACUCCGGAUAAACAUGUGAUCUCCACCUAACAUUAACCAUGUGGCAGUGGAUGCUAGGCCUUGCGGACGCCUCGGAGUGAACCUCAAUCCUUAUACUAACUUGCUUCUUUACUUCACGACGGACUAGGGAGUAUGUGUCUUCCAAACUUAGGUCGUAAGGAAUACUAAGGCGUACCAGAGGGCUAAGUCGACCAAGGGAAAUGAUUGCGUAGAGAGGGUCACUACUCAAGAAAAAAUCGGAUAAAUUGAAGAUUUGCCACGACAAUAAAAAAUU
rnacentral:lncRNA from 1 species